CAUGUUUGCGUGUUCAUGCAGAGUCGGGGAGAAGGUGGUUAGCAUCAGCAUCGCCCACCUGGAGCCCUCACCCCCCAAGACAACAAGGUGAAGGUGAUCCUGGCGAGGACCGCCGAGGGGCGACGGGUCACCUCUGUCUAGCAUCGACGGGGACGACGGCAUCGUCCGCAUGGAGCUGGACGACCAGCUGAAGAUCCUCAACUAGGUUCCCUGUUAACGCCUGACCACUGAUACCAUACAGAGACACACACAGAGACACACACAUAGAAUACCACACAUAACCACACACACCCGACGGACAGACCCACCCCCCCCCACCAACGACAGACACACCACUACACAUAGAAUCACCACACCAGACAGACGAAACAGA